GAUGAAGAACGUAGCGAAAUGCGAUAAGUAGUGUGAAUUGCAGAAUUCAGUGAAUCAUCGAAUCUUUGAACGCACAUUGCGCCCCUUGGUAUCCCGAGGGGCAUGCCUGUUCGAGCGUCAUUUCACCACUCAAGCGUGGCUUGGUGUUGGGCGACGUCCUCUUUGGGGACGCGCCUCGAAACGCUCGGCGGCGUGGCACCGGCUUUAAGCGUAGCAGAAUCUUUCGCUUUGGAAGUCGGGGCCCCGUCUGCCGGAAGACCUGCUCGCAAGGUUGACCUCGGAUCAGGCAGGGAUACCCGCUGAACUUAAGCAUAUCAAUAAGCGGAGGA
rnacentral:misc_RNA from 1 species